rnacentral:rRNA from 1 species
CCUACGGGGCGCAGCAGUGAGGAAUAUUGGUCAAUGGGCGGGAGCCUGAACCAGCCAAGCCGCGUGAAGGAAGAAGGCGCCAGGCGUCGUAAACUUCUUUUGUCGGGGAACAAAGGGCGCCACGCGUGGCGUUGUGAGUGUACCCGAAGAAAAAGCAUCGGCUAACUCCGUGCCAGCAGCCGCGGUAAUACGGGGGGUGCAAGCGUUGUCCGGAAUCAUUGGGCGUAAAGAGUUCGUAGGUGGCACGUUAAGUCUGGUGUUAAAGGCGGAAGCUCAACUUCCGUAGGGCACUGGAUACUGGCGAGCUUGAAUGCGGUAGAGGUAAAGGGAAUUCCUGGUGUAGCGGUGAAAUGCGUAGAUAUCAGGAGGAACAUCGGUGGCGUAAGCGCUUUACUGGGCCGUAAUUGACACUGAGGAACGAAAGCCGGGGUAGCAAAUGGGAUUAGAUACCCCAGUAGUC